rnacentral:rRNA from 1 species
UAGGGAAUCUUCGGCAAUGGACGAAAGUCUGGCCGAGCAACGCCGCGGGAGGGAAGAAGGUUUUCGGAUCGUAAAACUCUGUUGUUAGAGAAGAACAAGGACGUUAGUAACUGAACGUCCCCUGACGGUAUCUAACCAGAAAGCCACGGCUAACUACGUGCCAGCAGCCGCGGUAAUACGUAGGUGGCAAGCGUUGUCCGGAUUUAUUGGGCGUAAAGCGAGCGCAGGCGGUUUCUUAAGUCUGAUGUGAAAGCCCCCGGCUCAACCGGGGAGGGUCAUUGGAAACUGGGAGACUUGAGUGCAGAAGAGGAGAGUGGAAUUCCAUGUGUAGCGGUGAAAUGCGUAGAUAUAUGGAGGAACACCAGUGGCGAAGGCGGCUCUCUGGUCUGUAACUGACGCUGAGGCUCGAAAGCGUGGGGAGCAAACAGG